UCGUGUGUUCAGGUAUUUUAUCUUCCCUCCAUCAGAAAGCAGAAUGUUCCACAGAAGUGAACCUUCAGGUUGAACAGGAAACCAGAACAAAGAGGAACGUCUUCCUAAAGCGUUCCUGUUGGAGCAUCAGUUAGUAUCUGCAGCAGAGAUGUAAUGAAGUCUUCCAUCUGGCAGAGCUCCGCAGAUCCACUCACCAAACUCUUCAAUCUCUGAGGAAAAGCAGGACUGAGUCCGUCAGCGUUUGCUGUGAAGGUAGAAAGUGUGUGUGAGCUGAUGUGAAUCCAGCAUCAUGGAUCAGGACAGAGAGGAGGGAGUCCCUCCCUCUAAAACCACUCAGAGGAACCACACUGGACCUGAACCUGGACCUGGACAUGGACUUAGACCCAGCUGUGUCUCCAUGAAGAGAAACCGAUAGAUGGAAAAUCGUCUUUAUUUCAGAUCAGACCAGCAGAAUCAACCUGAACCUGAACCUGAACCUGGACCUGAACCCAGCUGUUUGUCUUUUAAGAGUGACCAGUCGAAGGAUGUUCCUCUUCAUUUUAAAUCAGAGCCACAGAGAGUGGACCAGCAGAGCUCAGAGCUUCCCAGUGGUCAGUCUGCCCAGCAGCAUCAAACACAG